UACGUAGGGUGCAAGCGUUAAUCGGAAUUACUGGGCGUAAAGCGUGCGCAGGCGGUGAUGUAAGACAGAUGUGAAAUCCCCGGGCUCAACCUGGGAACUGCAUUUGUGACUGCAUCGCUGGAGUGCGGCAGAGGGGGAUGGAAUUCCGCGUGUAGCAGUGAAAUGCGUAGAUAUGCGGAGGAACACCGAUGGCGAAGGCAAUCCCCUGGGCCGAUACUGACGCUGAGGAGCGAAAGCGUGGGGAGCGAACAGG
rnacentral:rRNA from 1 species